UAAGGUUAUACAACAACCUCUGAUCUCAGUGAAGUCCGAUCUGAGUUUUUAUCAAUGGCGAAACUAAUCCUUAGCCUCGUCUCCGUGGUUCUUAUCGGCCUCGUCGCGAUCGCUUCCGCUGCAGUUAUCUUCGAGGAACGCUUUGAUGGGCUCCUUUCGGAUUGCCUCUUCGGUACUGUUCUUCAGCUACUCUUACAUUGUUUUCAGAGAACACCAUAGCUGACACUGGUUUGAGAAUAGAUAAUGGCAUUACAAUUUAUUUAUUUAAAGCGUUGUAACAUAACAAACCAAAGUUGUGGUGUGAAAAUUCUGGUUUGAAAAAAAAAAAAAAAAAAUCUGUAUAUAUACAGUUUUGAAACAAACCGAGUGGAAAUUGCCAACCGGAAAGAUUAGAAUGUUGAUUGGUUAAUCACAAUGGUAUGAACCACUGAAAAAAUUAACCAAUGAAAAUACUUUUGAAUUUGUGCACAUCAGUUGAUUGGUUGAGAACUUUUUGUUGAUCGAGCAAGAAAUUAAAUUUCAUCAUAUAAUACUCAUUUCAAAUUUGUGAUUGUCUAUAAACUUGUGAAUUAGUCUGAAAUAGAGAUGCACAGUUUCUUCCUUUGCUAUCUUCAUGGUCAUGCAAAUGGGGAUAUAAACAGUGAAUUUGUUUGAUGUAUAAUUCUAGUACGCGACUGAUCUACAUGCAAAAGUCAUAAUUAACGAUCUAAUAUUAACUUCCGUAUAAAUGGUUUUAGAAGAGAAAAGUUGCAUGUAUGUUACUAGUGAGAUAGAAGCAAAAUUUUAUGAGUUAAGUGGAUAUGGUUGACUUGAGAACACGUGCGGAAAUGUAGAAAAACACGAGCACAGUUCAAAGACAACGAAAUUUCUCUGCCGAAGACAUAUGCGAGUGCAUGCUGUCUUGCAACGUGUUCCA